CGGCGGACGGGUGAGUAACGCGUGGGUAACCUGCCUCAUACAGGGGGAUAACAGUUGGAAACGGCUGCUAAUACCGCAUAAGCGCACAGUACCGCAUGGUACCGUGUGAAAAACUCCGGUGGUAUGAGAUGGACCCGCGUCUGAUUAGUUAGUUGGUGGGGUAACGGCCUACCAAGGCGACGAUCAGUAGCCGACCUGAGAGGGUGACCGGUCACAUUGGGACUGAGACACGGCCCAA
rnacentral:rRNA from 1 species